GUCUAGAUGCAAGAAUGGCCCCCGUGAUGUUGUCAGGUAUAUACCUGCAACGUGCGGGGGUUUUCU
rnacentral:antisense_RNA from 1 species